rnacentral:rRNA from 1 species
CCGUAACUAUAACGGUCCUAAGGUAGCGAAAUUCCUUGUCGGGUAAGUUCCGACCCGCACGAAAGGCGUAAUGAUUUGGGCACUGUCUCAACAGCCCGCCCGGCGAAAUUGUAGUACCGGUGAAGAUGCCGGUUACCCGCGACAAGACGGAAAGACCCCAUGGAGCUUUACUGUAGCCUAAUAUUGGGUUUCGAUGUUGCAUGCACAGGAUAGAUGGGACUCUGGGAAACCAAGGCUUUGGCUUUGGCGGAGAGGCCGUUGGGAUACCAUCCUUGCGAUAUUGGAAUUCUAACCUGCGGCUCUGAAUCGAGUCGGGGGACAUUGUUAGGUGGGCAGUUUGACUGGGGCGGUCGCCUCCUAAAGAGUAACGGAGGCGUUCAAAGGUUCGCUCAGCUUGAACGGAAAUCAAGCAAAAGAGUGCAAACGCAGAAGCGAGCCUAACUGCGAGACUGACGGGUCGAGCAGUAACGAAAGUUGGAGUUAGUGAUCCGGUGGUAUGUGAGUGGAAAUGCCAUCGCUCAACGGAUAAAAGCUACCCUGGGGAUAACAGGCUUAUCACUCCCAAGAGUUCACAUCGACGGAGUGGUUUGGCACCUCGAUGUCGGCUCAUCGCAUCCUGGGGCUGUAGCAGGUCCCAAGGGUUGGGCUGUUCGCCCAUUAAAGCGGUACGCGAGCUGGGUUCAGAACGUCGUGAGACAGUUCGGUCCCUAUCCGGCGUGGGCGUAGGAUAUUUGAGAGGAGCUGUCCUUAGUACGAGAGGACCGGGAUGGACGCACCUCUGGUGCACCAGUUGUCACGCCAGUGGCACAGCUGGGCAGCUAUGUGCGGAACGGAUAAACGCUGAAAGCAUCUAAGCGUGAAGCCGACCCAAAGAUAAGAUAUCCCAUUGUUUCAAACAAGUAAGACCCCUUGAAGACUACAAGGUUGAUAGGCACGAUGUGUAAGUGGAGUGAUCCAUUCAGCAAGCGUGUACUAAUAGGUCGAGGGCUUGACCAC